rnacentral:rRNA from 1 species
CCUACGGGCGGCUGCAGUGAGGAAUAUUGGUCAAUGGACGAGAGUCUGAACCAGCCAAGUAGCGUGAAGGAUGACUGCCCUAUGGGUUGUAAACUUCUUUUAUAAAGGAAUAAAACGAGGCACGUGUGCCUUUUUGCAUGUACUUUAUGCAUAAGGAUCGGCUAACUCCGUGCCAGCAGCCGCGGUAAUACGGAGGAUCCGAGCGUUAUGCGGAUUUAUUGGGUUUAAAGGGAGCGUAGAUGGGUUGUUAAGUCAGUUGUGAAAGUUUGCGGCUCAACCGUAAAAUUGCAAUUGAUACUGGCAGUCUUGAGUACAGUUGAGGUAGGCGGAAUUCGUGGUGUAGCGGUGAAAUGCUUAGAUAUAACGAAGAACCCCGAUUGCGAAGGCAGCUUACUAAACUGUGACUGACAUUGAUGCUCGAAAGUGUGGGGAUCAAACAGGAUUAGAUACCCUAGUAGUC